AUGACUGGUUUGGUGACACCCUUAGUAAUGCGACCUUUCAGCUUCCUUCGUACAAACCAUCGUCUCUCUUCAUCUCAACUCAACCUUCGCCGGAAAUCGCUCGAACGCGCCAGAGGCGGCAGAGCGUCGACAAUCACCAAAAUUCCUACGUCUCCCUCUUCGUCCUCUUCCCCCGAGUUUAAUUCCAAACCUGGUUUUCACCGAUUUCACUUCAUACACCUCUGUUUAUGCGAUUUGAUUUCCUAUCGCUUAUGUGCGUGUUGUUGUGUAAUUGUAGUUGUGUGCUGA